UAAUGCUCCAUAGUGGAUAUGUCCUGGAAAUGGUAUAUCCUCGAAAGAUCCGUCGCCUUAGGAUGGGACUGCGUCCGAUUAGGUUGUUGGCGGGGUAACGGCCCACCAAGCCAUUGAUCGGUACGGGUUGUGGGAGCAAGAUCCCGGAGAUGAAUUCUGAGACAUGAAUCCAGGCCCUACGGGGCGCAGCAGGCGCGCAAACUUUACAAUGCGAGCAAUCGUGAUAAGGAAACCCUGAGUGCCUGUCGAUGCAGGCUGUUCAUAUAUCUAAAUCAUAUGUGAAGAAAGGGCAGGGCAAGACCGGUGCCAGCCGCCGCGGUAAUACCGGCUGCUCGAGUGAUGGCCACUAUUACUGGGUUUAAAGCGUCCGUAGCUUGACUGUUAGGUCUCUUGGGAAAUCUUCACGCUCAACGUGAAGGCGUCUAAGAGAUACCGGCAGUCUUGGAACUGGGAGAGGUAAACCGUACUUCGGGGGUAAGAGUGAAAUCUUGUAAUCCUCGAGGGACGACCUAUGGCGAAGGCAGUUUACCAAAACAGCUUCGACAGUGAAGGACGAAAGCUGGGGGAACAAACGGGAUUAAAUACCCCGGUAGUCCCAGCCGUAAACAAUGUGCGUUAGGUGU
rnacentral:rRNA from 1 species